AAUUUACAUCUACUAAUGCUUGUUGUGUAAUGACCCGUGCAUUACGACAGAUAGAUACCGUUAAAAUAAAAAUUUGUAAAAAAUAAAAUAUCAGUUUAAUACAAAAAUGAUAAAUAUACUCUAUAUUAUAGACAAAUUUUUUUUUAAAAAAAAACUAUAAUAAAAUAAAUCGUUUCAACAAAACUAUUAAACAUUAUUCAAGAAAAGUAGUAUAUUAUACAAAUGGGCGAUUAAAAUUAUUUAUGUAACGCAAUAAUCAAAUGCGAAAAAAAAGAGAAAAAAAUAGGUCCCACUCUUUUCCAAAUUAAGGGAUUGAGUAUAUGUAGGAUAUAGCUAUGAGGAUUAAUGUAUAGGUAUAGUUAUAGAUAAGGGCGUGUUUGGAUCCAUGUAAAAUGAGUCCGAAAAUUUUUUUUCAGUUGAAAAAUAGUUUUCCAUUGUUCGUUUCUUUGUAAA
rnacentral:lncRNA from 1 species